GGGCCCGCACAAGCGGUGGAGUAUGUGGUUUAAUUCGAUGCAACGCGAAGAACCUUACCAGGGUUUGACAUCCUGCGAAUCUCUUGGAAACGAGAGAGUGCCUUCGGGAACGCAGUGACAGGUGGUGCAUGGCUGUCGUCAGCUCGUGUCGUGAGAUGUUGGGUUAAGUCCCGCAACGAGCGCAACCCACGUCGUUAGUUGCCAGCAUUUUAGUUGGGCACUCUAGCGAGACCGCCGGUGAUAAACCGGAGAAGGUGUGGAUGACGUCAAGUCAUCAUGCCCCUUACAUCUGGGCUACACACGUACUACAAUGCUACGGACAAAGGGCUGCAAGUUCGCGAGGACAAGCAAAUCCCAUAAACGUGGCUCAG
rnacentral:rRNA from 1 species